UUGAGUAUUUCUUUACGCCCGUGCCCCUCGCACCUCGCGUGUUAUGGAGCUCCAGUACGGCUGGUUAUAAAUAAUUCAUUGAACAGCCAACGACACGACGGAUACGAUACGACAUGUCGUAUGAUGUAAGCGGUCUAUCAACAUCAACAUCAUCAUACUUACUGGUCGCCGGUCGUCGUCGUCGGCACAUCAGCACAAGGGCGGCGAGCAGCAGCAGUAAGACAGCGGCACCCGCCCCUCCCGCCGUCACGAGGGCGCUAGGAGCGCGGGGGGGACUCGCGGGAGGAGGGGCGGGCUCCGGGGAGGGGGGCGCCGGACCACGGAGAGUCUUGGCGUUCUAGGACCAUUGGACGAGUGAUUAUCACGUACAACGCUGAGUAAGGCAGCGUCCAGGGCACACCUCCCCCCUCCGCACGCCGCACACUGCACCACGCCCGCGUGUCGCUUCUCAACAUGAUCCAAACGUAAUGAGCUCGUGGUUCGCUUCAAUGACACCAUUGGGGCCAGUCCAGCGAACGUGUGGUGGUGGACUGCCAACAGCGUCACACCACACACGAAAAAUACCACCAGAUGGAACUGAAGCUGUCAAAACACCAUCUUGCAUGGUGCCUGCGUAGUCUUCAGACUCCAAAAACCUGAGAAAGAAGUUUGGUAUCCCAGUUAAAGCCGAUGGUUAUGAAUAUAAAUAUACAAAACCUGAUAGUAAGUAGUGGCCGUAUCUUCUUUAAUCUUAACGACGAGUCGUGUGGACACUCCGUCUUUGUCGUUGAAGCCGUUCAGAU